GAUGAACGCUAGCGGCAGGCUUAACACAUGCAAGUCGAACGCCCCGCAAGGGGAGUGGCAGACGGGUGAGUAACGCGUGGGAAUCUACCCAGUUCUACGGAACAACUGAGGGAAACUUCAGCUAAUACCGUAUACGCCCUACGGGGGAAAGAUUUAUCGGAAUUGGAUGAGCCCGCGUUGGAUUAGCUAGUUGGUGAGGUAACGGCUCACCAAGGCGACGAUCCAUAGCUGGUCUGAGAGGAUGAUCAGCCACACUGGGACUGAGACACGGCCCAGACUCCUACGGGAGGCAGCAGUGGGGAAUAUUGGACAAUGGGCGAAAGCCUGAUCCAGCCAUGCCGCGUGAGUGAUGAAGGCCUUAGGGUUGUAAAGCUCUUUCAGUGGGGAAGAUAAUGACGGUACCCACAGAAGAAGCCCCGGCUAACUUCGUGCCAGCAGCCGCCGUAAAAC
rnacentral:rRNA from 1 species